rnacentral:rRNA from 1 species
AACGUAGGAGGCAAGCGUCAUCCGGAGUUACUGGGCGUAAAGCGCGUGUAGGUGGGUUAGUAAGUUACUUAUAAAAGCCCCUGGCUAAACUGGGGGAGGUUGAGUGAUACUGCCAGUCUUGAAUAGAGGAGAGGUUGACGGAAUUCCGCGUGUAGUGGUGAAAUGCGUAGAGAUGCGGAAGAACACCAGUGGCGAAGGCGGUCAACUGGCCUCAUAUUGACACUCGGACGCGAAGGCAUGGGUAGCGAACGGG